rnacentral:rRNA from 1 species
AACGAACGCUGGCGGCGCGCCUAAUACAUGCAAGUCGAGCGAGAAGACGUAGCAAUACGUUUGUAAAGCGGCGAACGGGUGAGGAAUACAUGGGUAACCUACCCUCGAGUGGGGAAUGACUAGCCGAAAGGUUAGCUAAUACCGCGUACGCUCCUUGGACUUUCGGUUCAGGGGAGGAAAGCGAUACCGUGGGUAUCGCGCUCUUGGAUGGGCUCAUGUCCUAUCAGCUUGNGGUGAGGUAACGGCUCACCAAGGCUUC